GACGAACGCUGGCGGCGUGGAUUAGGCAUGCAAGUCGAACGGUAUCAUCCUUUCGGGGGUGAGAGAGUGGCGAACUGGUGAGUAACACGUAGGUUAUCUACCCUCAAGACGGGGACAACCCAGGGAAACUUGGGCUAAUACCGGAUGUGAGCAACUUUUAGUGUUUGAAAGGUGGCGUAAGCUGUCGCUUGGGGAUGAGCCUGCGUCCUAUUAGUUAGUUGGUGAGGUAACGGCUCACCUAGGCAAUGAUAGGUAGGCGGCCUUAACGGGUGGUCGCCCACACUGGGAUUGAGAUACGGCCCAGACUCCUACGGGAGGCAGCAGUCGAGAAUAGUCUACAAUGGUCGGAAGACUGAUAGUGCGACGCCGCGUGAACGAUGAAUCCCUUCGGGGUGUAAAGUUCUUUUAUAUGUGAGCAGUGCUUCUUAUAUUAACAGUAUGGGGAGAGAGAUAUUAGCAUAUGAAUAAGCAACGGCUAAACUCCGUGCCAGCAGCCGCGGU
rnacentral:rRNA from 1 species